rnacentral:misc_RNA from 1 species
UGAUGAUAUACUAAUAACAAGAGAUAACUUUUGAGAAAAUGGCUAAGUUGAAAAGAUAUCCAAUUUAAGAAUUUGAAAUAAAAAAACUUGGUAAGUUACAAUAUUUUCUUGGUAUAGAAGUCAGGUCUGAUAAGGAAUUAUUUAUCUCUCAACCAAAAUAUGUCUUAGAUUUUCUUAAUGAAAUAGGCUCUAAUUGAGGCCAAUCAUAAAUUACAAGCUGACAAUGGGAAACCUAUUGAUGCUGGUUGCUAUCAAAGACUGAUGGCACUACAAUGUCAUAAGCAGCUUUUGACAUCCUUCAUCUGAGCAGAUUCUCUCUCUCUUGGUCCUGCACAUGAUUCGAUGCAAAUAAAGUCUCAUCGUGGUUCCUGUCCUUUGCCCACAUCCUGCUAUAGUGCCCAGUUUGGGUUGGAUGCCCAAAAAUGCCUAGAGCUUUUGUUUUUAUUCCUUUUUAUGCCUAAAGCUGACUAAUAUAUAACCAUUCAUAUGGAUGACUCGUGAAUAUAAACAUGCCUAUUAACUGAAAAAUUACUUGAAAUGGAAAAUGCAUGAUGUAAAGCCAGUAGGAAGAGCAAAAUUCUCCAAUCAAAUCACAUCAAAAUAAUUCCAUAUUUAACUAGAUGUCAAGAAAUACCAUACCACCACCAGUUUGUUGACCUUCAGUUACAAUUUUUGUUUUGACCCGUGGCUCUUCACCACAGUCUCUUGUAACCAUAUUGAUGCACCAGUUACCAUCGAGCGAGAUUCUACCAAUUAACAAACUCCAUGCUAAAUAAAAAGAAAGUUACAACAAUAUAGACCACAAAGAAUGUGAAAACAUCCAGGUAGUGGACAAACAGCAAGAACUUUAUAUUUUAGUGAAGGAUGGCAAGAAUUGUACAGCUUAACUUUUAUAGACAAAUACUUCGUGAUAGAAAACCAGUUUAUAGGAGAAAAAAAGAAUUACAGUCACUGCCAGUACUUUAUAUGAUGAUUAAUUGAAACAACUAUACUGCAACGGAUCACAAGUAAAUGUUCAAUUACCUAAUUGAUACUGAAAUAGACAGAAUCUUUAAUAUCGAUGUUGCAAAAAUUCUUAAAGAAAAUGCUAGAAGCUGAGAUGUCAAGUGCAAAAAUAUUUAGUCCCACAUAUGCAAAUUCAAAAAAACCAUUAAUCUAUUGCUCAUGGUGACACAAUACCUGAUCAUAACCUUCCGCUUCCACAUCCAUUACACAUUGCAUGUUUGACAGACAUGAACCAUCACUAACCUCCAUGAACGUAACGCUGCUCUGGACUCGAAGUGUCCGGACCCAUCCCAUCACAACAAGGGUCUGCCCGACCCGAUUCAACCCUUCGUCGGGUCCACCCUUUAUAUCAGCUAUCUUCAACUUCUUCCUGAAGAGCCCAACUCUAUCCCCCAUUUCGCCUAUCCGGUCUUCCUUGAAUUCCGGUUUGGUCUUCUCGCCGGAGCGCAGACCUCCAGAAAUCACGGUGCAGAAGGACCUCGGUUGGGGCCCGCCUGAAAGUGGGAGCAGCCGAUGGAAUUUUGGCGGAAGAGCAUGGGGUUUUAGCAGGGUUUUGGGGAUUGUCGGGAGGAUCCUAGGAAUUGAUUCGGGGUAGAAGGAAAGGAACCGGAGGGUUGAGCGGGUGCGGAACCGGAGAGGAGUAGCUGGUGCUAAAGCAGCUUCUUCGUUUUCCGAUUUUGGGUUUGGCUCGGAUUUGUAGCGGCUGCUGGAGGUUUUAUGUCCGCUGUUGUUGUUACCUUAUUCUGCGAUAUAUUACGCAAAGAACCUUUUUCUUCGACUUUUUUCUGUGGACGCCUCUUCAUUUUAUGUUAAUUGUGAAUAUUACCCCAUUUUUAAUUGUUUCUACAAGAUUGGACCAGUAGUCCACCUCGUGCCUUGGGACCUGCGAGCACUCACCAGCAACAGUACCAAAUCAAUUACCCUGUUCACGGCGCAAGAAGGCAUAGGCAGAGAACGAAGAGUUGGUUCUGUCCCUUUCCUUGCGUUCCUGAGCCAACCUAAUCAGCAAUUACCAAAAAAGCUUGCUAAGAAUCCCAAUUUAAGCAAUGGACAUUUCCUCUCUUCCAGAAUCCGAACAGCAACACCUCAACCCACAUUUCCAAGAACAAGUUCAGGCCCAGCAAUACCCACAAUACCAAAUUCAAGAUUAUUACUAUCAAACGCAGGGCCAAUCCUAUGACCACUCUUAUUAUUCGUAUUACCUGCAUUACCCACCUCAAAAUCAAUGGCAAUAUGACCAACAUCCACAAAACUACGCUUAUUACCAACCCAAUUACUCCGUUGCGUAUCAGCAACCUCCUUAUCAUCAGCAUGAGUCCGCGCCCAGGGUUUCAGCGCCGCAAGAAGCAGCGCAAAUGGUAGAUUCUGGUGGGACUGGGAUAUCGUUGCAGGCGGUGCAGCAGCAGGGCGUUUAUCCUCUGCCGCAGAGUUCGGUUGAUGUGGUGGUGCAGCCGGGGAUGAAUCCAGCGGCCCCUGCAGCGAUCGCGGCGCUGGAGCAGCUUACACAGUUGGCGCGGUCGAUGGACGCGGCGGAGAGGGCAAUGGCUAGGUUGCCGGCGAAGAGUCCAGGCUUUGAACUGGUUCCGAUGCUUCCUCGGGAGAAGUUGAAUAAGGAGGCAUUUUCAUUGGUCUUGGAUUGCUUGCCAGGAAGAAUAGGUAUGGAUCUUUUAAUUCACUUGCCUUGGUCAUGGUAAGUACACUGGUGACUAAAUCAGGUUCAGAAUAGCUUGGAUAGUAAACUUCUGACAGGUUUUAAAUCUGGUUGUAAACAGCUGGGAUUGUGUCAGUAGUUUACUAUUUCAACCCGUGUUGCUCAGACUUGGGUACAAGUGUCUGAUGCAUGAUCAUGCCUGACACUGGUACACUCAGUUCUUGUAUAUUCUUCCUUGUAUUUGGAUAAUUGUACUCAAGUACCCAUGUCUAUUCUGAGUAUAUGACAGGGUCCUUAAGGGUAUAAUGAAGAGUCAGAGCAACGGAGGUUCUGACAAAUUCAGAUUGUGUAGUGAGCUGCUGAUGGAUAUGUAAGGUUUAAGCCAAAAUAAUUUGCUUGUGUCAAUAAAAAAUUUUGAAAUGUGUCUGUCUCCUAUAUCAUUUGAAGCAGCAAAACUUUUGUUUUAAAGCAUGUGCAAGAUCAAUUCUAGUGCUUUAGCAAAUUACCAAGUUUCAUUUACUUGUUUUUGUUUAAGCUAAAUGAUUUUGAUCUUGGCAUGGAAUUUUUGGCAGGCCUAAGUUUAUGCACAAGUUGCAAUUAUAACUGUUAAAAACUUUUUGAUCAUGUCAAGGAUUAGAACUGUGUUUCAUAAUGUAAAAGAGAGUAGCGUCAUUAACUAAGAGAAGGACUGCUGGUCAGGCAUCAGAUAUUGUCAUAAGAGUAGUUAUUUUGAGAGAAGAUACUACCUGUAUUUUUUUCAUAAUAUGAUAAUAUGUAGAACAAGGUUCAGAGAAGGUAGUUUGUCUUUCUCCCAUUGAUGUUGGAACAAGUUACAAUUUGAAGAUAGAAUCCUUUUUGCUUAAACAUGAUUGGAGGUACUCAAUAUGCAGUUUUGUCUGAUUUCAGACUCUCUUCCUACUUGACACAUAUGGAGAACAGUAUUGACUUUUCUAUUUUUCUUCUUUUCUUUUUUUAUAAUUACAUUAUUGAAAACCAUUUUAAGAAAAUUUUGC